GAAGGUUCUCUCCAGAGGCGAAACUCAUGCAUGUUCGGCGGCACCUUCGGCGGUCGAAAGUCCCCUCCAGAGAUGAAAGUCCACUUUCGGGGGCAGGCUUUGGCAGCCGAAAGGCUGGCCUCCACAGGCUGGUUCGGCGGCCGAAAGUCCCUUCGGCUGCCGAACCUGAGUUCUCCCAAAGUGGCAGAAACUCGGCUCUCAUGCACAUUUCACCUCCCAACCUUCCAAUCAAGCAUUCAACUCAACCAAAACAUGCAUUUACACUUCCAUAAACAUAUAGGGGUCUCAAACUAACCUAAACCCCAACAAAAACACAAAGCACAAACACAUUCAACUCA
rnacentral:lncRNA from 1 species